GCCAGGUGUGGUGGUGCACACCUGUAAUCCCAGCUACUCAGGAGGCUGAGGCUGGAGACUCACUUGAACCUGGGAGCUGGAGGUUGCAGGGAGCCAAGAUCGUGCCACUACUCUCCAGCCUGGGUGAUGAAGUGAGACUCUGUCUCAA
ensembl:misc_RNA Metazoa_SRP Metazoan signal recognition particle RNA